rnacentral:rRNA from 1 species
GACGUAGGGCGCGAGCGUUGUCCGGAUUUAUUGGGCGUAAAGAGCUCGUAGGCGGCCCUGUCGCGUCGGAUGUGAAAGCCCGGGGCUUAACCCCGGGUCUGCAUUCGAUACGGGCAGGCUAGAGUGUGGUAGGGGAGAUCGAAUUCCUGGUGUAGCGGUGAAAUGCGCAGAUAUCAGGAGGAACACCGGUGGCGAAGGCGGAUCUCUGGGCCAUUACUGACGCUGAGGAGCGAAAGCGUGGGGAGCGAACAGG